AUCUAUAAAAUCUUUAGACAGCAAUUUAUCUUAAGGGAUUCAGCAGCACAUCUCUUUUCAGUGUAGGUUUGUGAGCUUCAUUGUCCCCCCGGCUGACUAAUUCAGUGCAUCUUCUUCUAGCAGAGUUGAUUGUUGUGAGGUUGCAGGUCGAGAGGAUGACAGCUCGAGUGUACUGCUCAUUGAGUGUCGUUUUAUUGUGUCUGUUUGCAUGUUUCAGCACAAACCACGCUGGAGUCAUAGCAAAGCCUCCAGUGAAGUCUGUGGCCGAACCAGCAAAGCCUGCAGUAUGUGCUGAAAACUCUCACAGAACUCACCCUGAUGCCCAAUGUCCUGGCCCUAAGGGGAGUCAACCAGAGCCUGUAGUGAAG